rnacentral:rRNA from 1 species
UACCAGCACCCCGAGUGGUCGGGACGAUUAUUGGGCCUAAAGCGUCCGUAGCUGGCUUGUUAGAUGCCUGGGUAAAUCGAUGCGCUCAACGCAUCGAACUCCGGGUAGACCGGCAAGCUUGGGACCGGGAGAGGCGUGAGCUACUCGAGGGGUAGGGGUAAAAUCCUGUAAUCCUUCGGGGAGGACCAGUGGCGAAGGCGUCACGCUAGAACGGCUCCGACAGUGAGGGACGAAGCCCUGGGGCGCAAACCGG